rnacentral:lncRNA from 1 species
AAUCUUCCGCUAUUUCGUCUGGUUCUAACUCAAUAAUGUGGUUUGGGUCUUUCACAUGUUUACGUAACAUGGAUAUAUGAAAAACGUUAUGAACACGAGACAUAAUUAGCGGCAAAACGAGUCUAUAGGCUACAGUCCCUACACGAUCGAUGAUUAAAAAUGGGACAAUGAAUCGAGGAUUGAGCUUUUCUCUCAUUCCAAAUCUCUUAACUCCUUUCCAUGGAGCAACACG